rnacentral:lncRNA from 1 species
AUGGGGAAUGGCCCUUUAAAUGCUCAGGCUGGCUCUGAUCCCUCCUUUCCCCUCAGGGUUACCCACAGGAGGGAGCCACCAGGGAGGGUGAGAGCCCUUUGGAAUAAGAAGUGUGUCUGGGGCCUACAGGCUGGCAGAGUGUGGGGCUUGGAGGCUGAAAAGCCCCAGGUUCCAGUGUGGCCCCGGGCCAGACGGGCCAGCUCAGGUGCCGGUGGUUCUGUUACGCUCCAUCUGGUUAAGUCAGGUUAACCAUUUGGUUAGAUUCUGAUAAGUUCCUUCAGGUUCUGACAGAUUCUCUCAGGUUGUCUCAGGGUAAGUCAGGUUCUGUCAGGUUCCCUUAGUUUCCCCCAGGUGAGGCUGCUGGGGCAACAGGAUUCCUGAGAUGGGGGGAUGGGGGGCGCGGUGAGAGGAGGCUGUGUGUUCCUCAGGCCCCAGGUCAGCUAAACUGAGCAGAGACAGGGUAAAAGGGCUGGGUGUCAGCCCAAGGGCCCCUGUGCCCUGCUCCUCCCUGCAGGGCACCUGCUCCCACCUGCCUGCCCUAACCUCCCCUGAGGUUAGGGGGGGCCCCUAACCUCACUGCUUUUCUUUGCAGCUCCCAGAGGACAGAACGCUUGCAUCAGCUGAAGUUAAUUCCAGAGUUUCUUCCCUUCCAACCUCUAUUUUGACCCAGUUCAUCUACCGCCAUCCCAAAUUCUUCUCCUGGUGAUCCUCAUCUUUCUCCUCCCUGUUCUCUUGCCCCUCCUCCCUGCCCCUUGCACCUUACUGUGCCCCUACCUGUGGGCCAGACCCCCUAAGAUCACAGCCACCCCUGCUCCUGCUGUCUCUCUCUC